ensembl:miRNA microRNA 128-1
UGUUUAAUAUUUUGCAAUAAUUGGCCUUGUUCCUGAGCUGUUGGAUUCGGGGCCGUAGCACUGUCUGAGAGGUUUACAUUUCUCACAGUGAACCGGUC